GACGAACGCUGGCGGCGUGCUUAACACAUGCAAGUCGAACGGAAAGGCCCUGCUUUUGUGGGGUGCUCGAGUGGCGAACGGGUGAGUAACACGUGAGUAACCUGCCCUUGACUUUGGGAUAACUUCAGGAAACUGGGGCUAAUACCGGAUAGGAGCUCCUGCUGCAUGGUGGGGGUUGGAAAGUUUUGGCGGUUGGGGAUGGACUCGCGGCUUAUCAGCUUGUUGGUGGGGUAGUGGCUUACCAAGGCUUUGACGGGUAGCCGGCCUGAGAGGGUGACCGGCCACAUUGGGACUGAGAUACGGCCCAGACUCCUACGGGAGGCAGCAGGGGGGAAUAUUGCACAAGGGGCGGAAGCCUGAGGCAGAAACGCCGCGGGCGGGAUGACGGCCUUCGGGUUGUAAACCGCUUUCGCCUGUGACGAAGCGGGGGUGACGGUAAUGGGUAAAGAAGCACCGGCUAACUACGU
rnacentral:rRNA from 1 species